AUUGAACGCUGGCGGCAGGCCUAACACAUGCAAGUCGAGCGGAUGAAGGUCUCUUGCUCCUGGAUUCAGCGGUGGACGGGCGAGUAAUGCCUACGAAUUUGCCUGGUAGUGGGGGAUAACGUCCGGAAACGGGCUCUAAUACCGCAUACGUCUUGAGUGGGAACAUUGGGGAUUUUCGGAUCUCACGCUUUCAGAUGAGCCUAGGUCGGAUUAGCUAGUUGGUGGGGUAAAGGCCUACCAAGGCGAGGAUCCGUAGCUGGUCUGAGAGGAUGAUCAGUCACACUAGACCUGUGACACGAUACAGACUCCAACGGGAGGCAGCGGUGGGGAAAAGUGGACUGUGCGCGGAAGCCUGAUCUAACCAAGCCGCCUCUGUGAAGAAGGGCUUGCGAUAUUGGAGCAAUUUAAGUUGGGUGGAAGGAUAAUAAGUUAAUCGCGUGAUGAGUUGACGUUACCGUAAGAAUAAGCACCGGCUAACUCCGUG
rnacentral:rRNA from 1 species